rnacentral:rRNA from 1 species
AUUGAACGCUGGCGGCAGGCCUAACACAUGCAAGUCGAACGAGAGGCGGACGGGUGAGUAAUGUCUGGGAACCUGCCUGAAGGAGGGGGAUAACUACUGGAAACGGUAGCUAAUACCGCAUACCAUCGGAUGGGGCAAGAUGGGAUUAGGUAGUAGGUGGGGUAAAGGCUCACCAAGGCGACGAUCCCUAGCUGGUCUGAGAGGAUGACCAGCCACAUUGGAACUGAGACACGGUCCAGACUCCUACGGGAGGCAGCAGUAGGGAAUCUUGCGCAAUGGGCGCAAGCCUGAUGCAGCCAUGCCGCGUGUAUGAAGAAGGCCUUCGGGUUGUAAAGUACUGUCAGCAGGGAAGCGUUACCCGCAGAGAAAGCCCCGGCUAACUCCGUGCCAGCAGCCGCGGUAAUUC